CAGUCGCCACGGGAAUACGGAGGGUGCAAGCGUUAAUCGGAAUUACUGGGCGUAAAGCGCACGCAGGCGGUCUGACAAGUCAGAUGUGAAAUCCCCGGGCUUAACCUGGGAACUGCAUUUGAAACUGUCAGGCUGGAGUCUUGUAGAGGGGGGUAGAAUUCCAGGUGUAGCGGUGAAAUGCGUAGAGAUCUGGAGGAAUACCGGUGGCGAAGGCGGCCCCCUGGACAAAGACUGACGCUCAGGUGCGAAAGCGUGGGGAGCAAACAGGAUCAGAUACCCCUGUAGUCCCUGUCUCUUAUAC
rnacentral:rRNA from 1 species